CGGGGUGAGUAAUGCUUGGGAAUCUAGCUUAUGGAGGGGGGUAACUACGGGAAACUGUAGCUAAUACCGCGUAGUAUCGGAAGAUGAAAGUGUGGGACCUUCGGGCCACAUGCCAUAGGAUGAGCCCAAGUGGGAUUAGGUAGUUGGUGAGGUAAAGGCUCACCAAGCCGACGAUCUCUAGCUGGUCUGAGAGGAUGACCAGCCACACUGGGACUGAGACACGGCCCAG
rnacentral:rRNA from 1 species